rnacentral:rRNA from 1 species
AUUGAACGCUGGCGGCAGGCCUAACACAUGCAAGUCGAACGAGUGGCGGAAGGGUGAGUAAUUUCUGGGAAACUGCCUGAUGGAGGGGGAUAACUACUGGAAACGGUAGCUAAUACCGCAUACCAUCAUAUGUGCCCACAUGGGAUUAGCUGGUUGGUGGGGUAACGGCUCACCAAGGCGACGAUCCCUAGCUAGUCUGAGAGGAUGACCAGCCACACGGGAACUGAGACACGGUCCAGACUCCUACGGGAGGCAGCAGUGGGGAAUAUUGCACAAUGGGCGAAAGCCUGAUGCAGCCAUGCCGCGUGUAUGAAGAAGGCCUUCGGGUGGUAAAGUACUUUCAGUGGGGAGGCGUUACCCGAAGAAGAAGCACCGGCUAACUCCGUGCCAGCAGCCGCGGUAAUUC